rnacentral:rRNA from 1 species
UACGUAGGUCCCGAGCGUUGUCCGGAUUUAUUGGGCGUAAAGCGAGCGCAGGUGGUUUAUUAAGUCUGGUGUAAAAGGCAGUGGCUCAACCAUUGUAUGCAUUGGAAACUGGUAGACUUGAGUGCAGGAGAGGAGAGUGGAAUUCCAUGUGUAGCGGUGAAAUGCGUAGAUAUAUGGAGGAACACCGGUGGCGAAGGCGGUCUGCUGGACAGCGACUGACGCUGAGGCGCGAAAGCGUGGGGAGCAAACAGG